rnacentral:rRNA from 1 species
UACGUAGGGGGCAAGCGUUGUCCGGAUUUAUUGGGCGUAAAGAGCGUGUAGGCGGCUUUACAGGUCCGUUGUGAAAACUCGAGGCUCAACCUCGAGACGCCGGUGGAAACCGUAAGGCUAGAGUCCGGAAGAGGAGAGUGGAAUUCCUGGUGUAGCGGUGAAAUGCGCAGAUAUCAGGAAGAACACCCGUGGCGAAGGCGGCUCUCUGGUACGUGACUGACGCUGAGACGCGAAAGCGUGGGGAGCGAACAGG